rnacentral:misc_RNA from 1 species
GAUGAAGAACGUAGCGAAAUGCGAAAAGUAGUGUGAAUUGCAGAAUUCAGUGAAUCAUCGAAUCUUUGAACGCACAUUGCGCCCCUUGGUAUUCCAUGGGGCAUGCCUGUUCGAGCGUCAUUUUGUACCCUCAAGCACUGCUUGGUGUUGGGCGUUUGUCCUGCAGAGGACUCGCCUGAAAGCGAUUGGCGGCCAACGUAGACGUGGCAGAGCGCAGCACAAUCUCGCGUCUCUCCCCUCUGCGUCGGCGUCCAUGAAGCCCACAAUCUCAACGUUUGACCUCGGAUCAGGUAGGGAUACCCGCUGAACUUAAGCAUAUCAAUAAGCGGAGGA